AACCUUUACACUGCACGCCAGUGCGAUAAGGGGACUCCAAGUGCGAGGGCAUAUAGUCCUCGCUUUUCUGGACCGUAAGGAGGUCCAGGAACAAGGGCUGGGCAAGACCGGUGCCAGCCGCCGCGGUAAUACCGGCAGCCCAAGUGAUGGCCGCUCUUAUUGGGCCUAAAGCGUCCGUAGCUGGCCAGGCAAGUCCGUCGGGAAAUCCGCACGCCCAACGUGCGGGCGUCCGGUGGAAACUGCCUGGCUUGGGACCGGAAGACCUGAGGGGUACGUCCGGGGUAGGAGUGAAAUCCCGUAAUCCUGGACGGACCACCGGUGGCGAAAGCGCCUCAGGAAGACGGAUCCGACGGUGAGGGACGAAAGCUCGGGUCACGAACCGGAUUAGAUACCCGGGUAGUCCGAGCUGUAAACGAUGUCUGCUAGGUGUGACACAGGCUACGAGCCUGUGUUGUGCCGUAGGGAAGCCGUGAAGCAGACCGCCUGGGAAGUACGUCCGCAAGGAUGAAACUUAA
rnacentral:rRNA from 1 species